rnacentral:rRNA from 1 species
GAUGAACGCUGGCGGCGUGCUUAACACAUGCAAGUCGAACGAAGCACUUUAUUUGAUUUCCUUCGGGACUGAUUAUUUUGUGACUGAGUGGCGGACGGGUGAGUAACGCGUGGGUAACCUGCCUUGUACAGGGGGAUAACAGUUGGAAACGGCUGCUAAUCCCGCAUAAGCGCACGGCAUCCCAUGAUGCAGUGUGAAAAACUCCGGUGGUAUAAGAUGGACCCGCGUUGGAUUAGCUAGUUGGUGAGGUAACGGCCCACCAAGGCGACGAUCCAUAGCCGAGCUGAGAGGGUGACCGGCGACAUUGGGACUGAGACACGGCCCAAACUCCUACGGGAGGCAGCAGUGGGGAAUAUUGCACAAUGGGCGAAAGCCUGAUGCAGCGACGCCGCGUGAGCGAAGAAGUAUUGCGGUAUGUAAAGCUCUAUCAGCAGGGAAGAUAAUGACGGUACCUGACGAAGAAGCACCGGCUAAAUACGUG